GUUGUUUAUUUUAGGUAUUAUAAAUAACCACCAAAGUAGUAUUAAAAUGUGAUAGCUUCAUUAUUGGAUGUUUCUAUAACAGAGGAGUCGGUAGGGAACCGAGGGUAACGAGCUUUUUCGAUUAUAAUUGGAGAAAUAACUUCGACCAGCUCCCUUGGUUUUCCUAUUUGUGAAUCGCGUGAUAAUUCCUUCCAAUUGGGAUUCCAUCAUUAUCAUAAUUAAAAACAUGACACUUUCGUUCACUUAUUAGAGUGACUCCAUGUCAUUCUUAUAAAUAAAUAAAAUGAAAUAUUUGGUAGUGAGUCAUUUUAUAGGGUAAGUGCGAGUGUCACAUAUUAAAAACAGUGCUCGUGACUCAUUGGAAUAAUGGAAAUCUUAUAGUAAAAAAUACUGUAGAUUAAGAUAACACUAGUAUGAUCAAAGCGUCAACAUCAAGCCGACGACCCCGAAGCGGCUACGGUCCGCCGCGCCUUGCGCUACCUCGCCGAAACUUCGCACUUCACUUUUCCACUAGAAACAGUUCAGAGAUCGCCAGCCGUGAAAUUACCGCAAAACUGACGUAACAACAGGCUGUCCAAAUCUGCCUGACGAAAAAAAAACUGCCUAUAACGCCUUCAAUUAUGUAAAUACUUAUACCUAUUCGAUUAUUUUUUGUUGUAUUGUUCUUACUGCAAGCUGAAUGAAAGUUCAUAACACUUUCUUACAUUUAAAAACAUUUUCUUACACUAAAAAAUACAGAAAAAAUCGUAUCGUCGUACCUUAAAUUCAAGCGUAAUGUGUAGGUACUUGUUAUAUUAAAAAAAACCGUUUCCAUUCGACGUCACUUUAUAAUUGAAAAGUUACAGGAGGAAGGCAUACUUUUUACACUUUAGGAUUAUGCAGUCUAAACAGCUUCACGGGUUUCAAGACCUGCUAGAGAUUUUCCACAGUCAAAUAAUCCAUCCACACAAUUUUAUACACAGAGUGUGGUUAAUCCUACCUAGCUGAGAGCCUUGAGAGGCUAUUUCAGCGUAGCCUUAACUAGUAGGUAUCCUAAGGGGUCUCAAACCUGACGACAUUGCUAACGCGAACCCUAGCAAGAACCGUGCUUCGCAGAAUCUACCAACGGAUCGGAAACGCGACCCACUGAGAAGAGCCGGCGAGAAACUCAGUGGGCUGUGUCUGAGGGUUAUUUCGCUCGUCGAGCCCUUCGUCGCAAGCGACGGGUUUUUUUUUUCGACUACCUGCCAAUUAAAUCAUUAAAAUCGAUAUAAGUAUUUCUAGGAUAGGCCCAAACAAGUAGUUAAAUCAAAAUAAAAACCUGUGCUUUGGUUAACAUAAGUAGAAACAGGGACUUUUUUAAAUAUAAUUUAUUUCAAACUAAUGGCCAAAAAUUGUACUUUUUUUUUAGUUCUUUCCAUGUCCAUAAAAUUGUCAAUCGAGCCUGAGGUCUACCUAAUUAUAAGUGGUUCCUGUUUUUAAAAGGUUAAUUAUUCUAACCGACUUUCAUGUUUUCAAUAUUUUUCAAGUUAUUACGCAUUUAACACUUGCAAUUCUUUAUAAAUACAUUGUUCAUGUUAAACUUGCAUUAAAUUAAAAGACAAUUCUCAUAGAGCAAUUACCAAUUGUAACGCUUUCACCAAAUUGAAAAUCAGACUUGCUUACACAAAAUCAUUCACGACAUGUAUAGCUUGAUAUACAUUAUUUUAUACGCAUUUAUGUGGACUCUAACUGCUGCUGCAAGGUUUAAUUAUAUUUCAAAUCUUGGUAUUGGAAGGUUGGAUGAAUUUCUACCAUCAUUUGUUAACGUUAUACAUUAUAGUUAUGUAUAUCCCAGGCUUAUUUUAAAAUUCUUUCUCAAUUCAAGGGUUAGCAAAUAUUGUGAACAACCGAGAUAUAACAGGAACCUAACAAAAUAGUUUAGUCCCAAUUUGGUAGCGAAUUUGCGAAUAUCAAAUAUUGUGUUCGUAAAGUUUUAAAUCUUUUAAUGAACUUAUUGGCCCCGCGUUUACGUAAUUUCAAAUAUUAUUAUGUUUUUAACUGUAAAUUUAAGUAUUUUAAUAAACAUAAUAUUGAUAACAUUUACGGUUAGACGCCGGAUGUCACGAAGUCUUUACUAAAAGGCGAUACCCUCUGUUGCCAAUUACGUCCCAUUACUCAUACGUGUGAUACUUAUUAAUAACUCUUUGUCUAUUCUUUCAUCAAUAAUGUACCGACUGAUCGCCUGGAUUAAGAAUUCCAAAAAGUACGCAAUGCUUAAAUUUCUUAAAUGUUAAUAGGUGCUUACAUCAAUUGCUAUAUAUUUUAAGCUUAUUUUUAUAUAAGGACCGUGUUACUGUCAACGUUACUUUUACAAUACAAAUAGAUUGCCGGGGUCUUAUUUAAAUGAUAUAUUUUCCAAACUUUUUCGUAUUAUACAUCUAUCAUGUUAAAUGCAUAAAAACUCAGU